GGCGGGAACCGCGGAGUUUUAAAUGUGUCUGUGUGAUAUUUCCGUCAAUUAUCGUUAAUCGCGGGACGUUGCGCGGCUUCCUAACGCAGAAAUGGGCGCGGGAAUUCUUCGAGAGAAAGCGGCGUCGCAUUUCACAGGGAUGGAAUGAACCACAAAAAUGAAGAUUUACUCAUCUGAAAGAUACAUAUCCGCUCCAUCCAGUCCAUCUACGAAAUCUCCCUUUUGCAGACAGAGAGACAGGCA